UGGGGUGUUGCCUAGAGCGCAGAUGAUGGGUUGCAGUAGUGCAAGCCAUACCCUGUAAUAAUGAGCAAUCACCGUGUAGUCGAUUUUACAGACGACGACAACAAGGUGAAUGAACAGGUUAUAGGUUGAGGCCACGGAAAGCAAGCACACCAGAAAACGUCCCAAGCCAUUUGGUUAAAUGUGCGGGAUACAUGAUCAGGUUAUGAUGGAUUCUGCAGCU